ACUCUACUUGCCAGGUGAGGACUCACAUUGUCUCACUUGGAAAUGUGGACAUGAGCCCUUGGUACAAUCAUCUUUUUAUCACUGGAAGAAGUAAAGGACUUCCCACAUCAGUUACUCUUUGAUUGUUCCAAAACCCAAUUCCAAGUUCCUGUAAUGCCUGGCAGUAACUUCUUCUGACCCAAAGUAAAGGUUGCCUUGGGCCCCUCCUGGGUUGAAGCAAAGGAAGGGGAGGAGUGCAGAGGCAGGACCAUCCCGACUUGACAAAACCUAUUGUGUGUCAUCUCAGAUCCUACGCGUGUUUAAGGCUGGCUCUACCAGAGAAUUUGGCAAGUUCUUCAGAAAAGAAGAGUGCACAGGAGCAAGGAGCGGCAUGGGUGCAUGUGCCCAGCGCCUCUGUGUGGAGUCUUCUCCUUCUACCAUCUCAUGACCCCUGGGUCUCUGCAGACCUGCUUUCCACCCAAGGGGAAGAGAAAAGGACUGAGCAGAGGUGAAGGAGAACUCCAGGUCCAGGUGGGCUUUUUCCAUGGAGCCUGAGACUUAUGAUGCCAGGUGCCUGGACAAAGCUUCCAGGUCAUUCCUAAGCAACACAAUCUUAGCCCCUGUGGAGCUAGUGCCAGCUGUGUGAAGCUGUACAGUGGUGCAGCGUUAAGGGCAAAGAGCACUGUGGAGCCAAGGCAGACAAAGCUGCACAGAGCUCCCAGGCCUGGAUGAUGAUCCCUGUUCCCAGACGUCUGUGGAGUUGCCAUGUUGAUGUUCUCUCAUUGUUUCUGCUGAGCUGGAAUGAUCGAAAUAAUUCUGGGACUAUGUAUGACAAGUCUCACCAGACCUUGUUAUGGAUCAGGGAGAGGUGAAGUGUAAAAAUAAUCAAGUUCAAAGGAGAGCCCUGCCACCUGGGAUCAGUUUUGUUAGCAGAAUCCCACCAGCCUUGCUCCCCAUAUCCAAAAUGCACUCAUCUCCCACAGGCCCUUCCCUCCUCUUGGUUGGAGGCUCUGAGUUCAGACAGACGUGUGCAGUUAGUUUCUCUGGACUGGGGAGCUUUCCAAGGACCUCCUAAUGGCAAGUGAUAAAACUGAUUGGCUGGUGCACGAGAGAGUCAUAGUCAACUCAUGGCAUGAGAAACAGAAACUUGAUAAAGCAGAGCUUUUCUGGAGGUUGGGCUGAAAACUUUAUCUGGGAAAUAUACAGUGUAACAGAGAGCUGUGCUAUUUAAAAUGUAAUGGGAGGUCGA